AGGUGGGGAGGUAGCGGUUCCCUGUACUCGAAAUCCGCUUUAUGCGAGACUUAAUUCCUUCGUUGAGGGUGUACUUUUGUGAAGUCUGCCCGAAGCACGAGGUGUUUGAAGAUUUCGGUCCUAUGCAAUAUGAACCCAUGAAUCAUGUCAGGUCCUGACGGAAGCAGCAUUAAGUGGACACUCAUAUGUGCCGUAGGGUAGCC
rnacentral:SRP_RNA from 1 species